rnacentral:lncRNA from 1 species
CGAGUCUGUUAAGGAUGGAAUAUUGGGGCCUUCCCCAUUCAAAUGCUAAAUCCCUAACCCCCAGUGUGGCUGUAUUUGGAGAUAGGGCUUCUAAGGCAAUAAUUAUGGUUAAAUGAGGUCAUAAGGGUGUGGCCCUGAUCUAACAGGAUUAGUGUCCUUAUAAGAGUGUGCUCUCUCUCCCUCUCCCUUUCCCUGUCCCACUUCCUCCUCCAUCUCCCUCUCUGCCUUUCUUCCUCUCUCUCCCUCUCUCCAUCACCAGAGCACACAGCAAGAAGCCAGACAUCUGUAAGCCAGGAAGACAGGCCUCCUCAGAGACCCCACAGGACCUAGAUCUGGACGACUUCCAGCCUCCAGAACUAAAUUAAGAGCUGAUGGAGUCCACCAAAUCCAGAGCCUCCCCCAAAGAAGAAGAAAUGGGACCCAGGAAGGAGGAAGGAGAAACAAAAGGAAUUCACAGGAUGAUGCUGAGGGGAAGCUUCAGGAAAGCAAUUUCUAAGGCCAGAGACCACCAGUCCAGAGGGAGAACUGAGAACUCCCGCAGGAUGCCACCAAGAAAACAAACAAAAAGAAUCCUACAGUAAUCAGCCCUUCACAUUUUAGCUGGGCAUAUGGCUGCCUAGCUAAAGACUACGUUUCCCAGCCUCCCUGAAGCUGGAUGCGGACACGGGACUAAUUUUGGCCAACGGAUUGUGGACAGACAUUGACAUAUAGGACUUCUGGUUUGUGCACUGAAAAGUAAAGAGCAGGUUUCCCACUGCUUCUUUCAGAGUCCCCACAGAUUGGAAAAUAAAAACAGUCAUCUUAGACAAUAAAACGAAAGCCUCAGAUCAAAUACAGAAGACAUUAGGAUCCUGGGUUCCUGAUACUGUCAAGCUUCCAGGCCACCCCUGAUCAUUUACCCAGACUUACAAGAGGGGAUAUAAACUUCUAUCUUGAUUGUCAUUGUAUUUUUAGACUAUCCGUUACCUCAGAAAAAUCUGUAUCCUAUCUAAUAAAGUUUCACCUAACACUUUCCUGAAAUAUAAUUCAGGGGCUCUUGACAACAUACUAAAUUUGCCAGACACCUUUUUUCCAAAGAGUCCAAUUCCCUUUCCAUAAUUUUACAUCACUUUUCUUCACAGUGUCUCUGAUGUAAUUUAAUAACAAUGCUUUAAGAUUGACCUAACCCCCAGAUUCCAUGACCCCAGUGUUCACGUCAGGCUGCUUUCUGCCCUGGAAAACAACAUCUGGUUCUGUUUCAUACUCCUGGGCAAGCUAAAUUCCCAGUUUUCAGGGACCAAGAACAAGAUUAUUUUAACUCAUUUUUCAGAAAAAAAAAUCUUUUUCAUUCAUAGUCCUUGCAAUUCACCAAAAACACACUUAAUAUAUAAGAUUAAUAGACAGCAACUUACGGCUUUUCUCUAACGUUAUCUUAUGGCAUAAAACAGUUAAUAUCCUUCUACUGUACACACCUUACCCAUAAUAAAUAGCUUUCUCAUAUACUAAAGACAGGUUCAGAUAUUUAUAAAGUACUUUUAUCUAUUCAGAGAGAAAAACACUAUAAAACAUAAACAUUCUGUGGCUCUCAGGUUUCCCCAGCACCCUAUCUUCUCUCUCCAUAAAAAUGGGAUAAUUAUAACUGCCACAAACUAUUGCGUGCUGAUGUUAUGAAAAUAAAUGAAAUAACCAAUAUAUGAAAGCAUUUUGUGCUCUUAGGAAGAAUAAAUCCACCUUAAAUCCAAGAAGGUAUAAUUCUUUAUAAUGUUUUCCAGGGAUUUGCUGAACAGCCCUAGAGAGGUCAUUACCCACAACAAAC